AAAUUGAGGUUUUUAAGAGUUGUUUGCAAUWUAAUUUAAAUUCAGGAUAUGAUAUUAAUUCUCGAUGAUUCUUCAUAAUUAGUCUUUGUCUAUAUUUUUUAGACAAGGAUAGUGCUUUGUUGAAUGCGAUCCUUUACUAAUUGUUUCAAGAAUUGUCUCGUUACAUUCUUGUUUCAUAAGCAGGUGAUAUGAGGUUCUCAUCAUAUUGUUGUAAAUGUGGCUCCUUUGAAAAUAGGUCUUGGUGUUAUUGGCACCUUGUUAGAAGCAAUUAAUUGAAAGAUGACAUUGCCUUGUCCUCUGUGCGACUUUGAUUUUUUCCCUCCCUUCCAUGUAGAUGGUUGUUGCGGAUGAGAUCAUAGUUGUGUUGAGGCCGUGC
rnacentral:misc_RNA from 1 species